rnacentral:lncRNA from 1 species
GUGUUUUGUAGUUUUCCUUGUAUAGGUCUUUCACCUCCUUGGUUAGGUAUAUUCCUAAGUAUUUUAUUUUUUGCAGCUAUUGUAAAAGGUGUUGAGUUCUUGGUUUGAUUCUUCACUUGCUUGCUGAUGGUGUUUAGAAGAGCUACUGAUCUAUGUACAUUAAUCUUGUAUCCAGAAAUUUUGCUAAAUUCUUUUAUCAGUUCUAGGAGCUUUCUGGAGGAAUCUUUGGGGUUUUCUAGGUAAACAAUCAUAUUACCAGCUAACAGUGACAGUUCAAUUUCCUCUUUACCCAUUUGGAUACCAUUUUUUUUUUCUCUUGUCUGUCUGCUCUGGUUAGGACUUCCAGUACUAUGUUGAAGAGGAGUGGUGAGAGUGGGCAUGGUUAUCUUGGUCCAGUUCUCAGAGGGAAUGCUUUCAACUUUUCCCCAUUGAGUAUAAUGUUGGCUGUGGAUUUGUCACAGAUGGCUUUUAUUACAUUGAGAAGACACCGUUAAGAAAACAAAGAAGUGGAUGUUCCAAGAUGGCCAAAUAGGAACAGCUCUGGUGUGCAGUUCCCAGCGAGAAUACAGAGGGUGAGUGAUCACUGCAUUUCCAAAUGAGUUUUUCUGCCCAAAGACCAGGAGAUUCCCUGG